AUAAGAGUUCCACCCUAUCCCCCACCAAACAGGUGUCAAGAGUUAUAAUAAAAGCUGUGGAACUGCCCGUGUGAUGAACAGACUUGAAAAGCUCAGCCCUGGCCUAUCUGCACCAUGACCUGGGCUCCUCUCCUGCUCACACUUCUGGCUCACUGCACAGGCUCCACUUCCCAGGCUGUGGUGACUCAGGAAACUUCACUGACCACAACUCCAGGAGGGACAGUCACACUCAGUUGUGGCUCCAGUACUGGUGCCGUCACCAUGAGUAACUAUGCAGUCUGGAUCCAACAGAAGCCCUACCAGGAACCUCAGGGUGUAAUAGGUGGCACCAGUAAUCGGGUUCCAGGAGUCCCUGCCCAUUUCUCAGGCUUCCUGCUUAAAGGCAAGGCUGCCCUCACCAUCCUAGGGGCCCAGACUGAGGAUGAGUCCACAUAUUGCUGUGCUCUGUGGUUCAGCAACCAUUUCCACAGAUCCUUCUCUCAGCCUGUGCUGACUCAGCCACCCUCUGCAUCUGCCUCCCUGGGACAAACAGUCAAACUCACCUGCACCCUGAGCAGUGGCUACAAUAGUUAUGUGGUGGCCUGGUUCCAGCAAAGCCCAGGGAAGAGCCCCCGUUUUGUGAUGGUAGUGGGCACUAGUGGCAUUGUGGGAUCCAAGGGGGAUGGGAUUCCUGAUCGCUUCUCAGGCUCAGGCUCUGGCCUGGAUCGAUACCUGACCAUCCAGAACAUCCAGGAAGAGGAUGAGACUGUCUACCACUGUGGGGCAUCCCAUGGCAGUGGUAGCAGCUAUGUGUAA